rnacentral:piRNA from 1 species
UAAGUAGUCAGAACCUACUGUUUCUGUUA